GACGAACGCUGGCGGCGUGCUUAACACAUGCAAGUCGAACGGAAAGGCCCUGCUUUUGUGGGGUGCUCGAGUGGCGAACGGGUGAGUAACACGUGAGUAACCUGCCCUUGACUGUGGGAUAACUUCAGGAAACUGGGGCUAAUACCGGAUAGGAGCUCCUGCUGCAUGGUGGGGGUUGGAAAGUUUCGGCGGUUGGGGAUGGACUCGCGGCUUAUCAGCUUGUUGGUGGGGUAGUGGCUUACCAAGGCUUUGACGGGUAGCCGGCCUGAGAGGGUGACCGGCCACAUUGGGACUGAGAUACGGCCCAGACUCCUACGGGAGGCAGCAGUGGGGAAUAUUGCACAAUGGGCGGAAGCCUGAUGCAGCAACGCCGCGUGCGGGAUGACGGCCUUCGGGUUGUAAACCGCUUUCGCCUGUGACGAAGCGUGGGUGACGGUAAUGGGUAAAGAAGCACCGGCUAACUACGUG
rnacentral:rRNA from 1 species